UGAAACACCAGUUCUCAUAUGAUCACUGAAGUUAAGCAAUGUCGGGCCUGAUCAGUACCUAGAUAAGUAACCAUUUGGGAAUACCAAGUGCUGUAAU